GUUAAAAGAACUAAAAUCGUGUGGCCCGCUGAAAGUGCUCCUAACACCACAAACAGAAGUUAAAGUAGUGAAAACAGAGAUACCCUCACCUGCACGCAAAGUCCAUGGGUCAGAAGAACCAACAGGAACAACGCAGAACCACAACUCUCCACUCAAAUUCAUCACAACGAUAAGUACACUACAUUUGAGGAAAUUAAAUGAGGAAAUUGUAAGGUGUCAAAGUAUCUUUAGCACAGAGUAACAGAUGGUGACAUGUAAAAGUAAUAGCAAAUUAAAAGUAGGUGUUGUAACUACUGACAGAACAGAAGACUGUUUUAGAGGACAGAGAAUAUCAGUGACUGAGUUUAUUCACACUACAGACAUUGAAUUAGCUGGAUUGGACCCUUGGUUAAAAAGGAGAAAUCAACACCAACAACACCCCAAAGCA